rnacentral:rRNA from 1 species
UUCAGUAGCUUUCCGCACGUCGGCGACCCUGGAGGCGGCGUAUUCAGCGCGUCACGUUCGCGUGCGCGUUGCGUCCGCUCUCCGGGCGUCGGCUGCGGCGCGUGCACUUCUCUGUCGGUAGGACGUCGCGACCUGUUGGGUGUCGAUCUAAGGGUCCGCUCGGGCAGCCCGUCCGGGGUGCGGUUCGCCGCACUCGCCGGUCGGACCGAGUAACGGCUCCGAUCGACGCGUAAAAUUAUCCGACAGUGCAUAAGGGGCGAAGGGCCGCCGAUUCACGUUGGCGUUCGGACCGCGGCGAUGUCGUCGCCUCGUCGGGCUCUGUUCUCUGUAACAGUCUCGCCUGGCAGCGAUCUCG